GUGCCAGCAGCCGCGGUAAUACGUAGGGUGCGAGCGUUGUCCGGAUUUAUUGGGCGUAAAGAGCUCGUAGGCGGUUUGUCGCGUCGGCCGUGAAAACCUGCAGCUUAACUGUGGGCGUGCGGUCGAUACGGGCAGACUUGAGUUCGGCAGGGGAGACUGGAAUUCCUGGUGUAGCGGUGAAAUGCGCAGAUAUUAGGAGGAACACCGGUGGCGAAGGCGGGUCUCUGGGCCGAUACUGACGCUGAGGAGCGAAAGCGUGGGGAGCGAACAGGAUUAGAUACCCUGGUAGUCC
rnacentral:rRNA from 1 species